AAUAGAUACCCGGGUAGUCCACGCCGUAAACGAUGAGUGCUAAGUGUUAGAGGGUUUCCGCCCUUUAGUGCUGCAGCUAACGCAUUAAGCACUCCGCCUGGGGAGUACGGCCGCAAGGCUGAAAACUCAAAGGAAUUGACGGGGGGCCCGCACAAGCGGUGGAGCAUGUGGUUUAAUUCGAAGCAACGCGAAGAACCUUACCAGGUCUUGACAUCCUCUGCCAACCCUAGAGAUAGGGCGUUCCCCUUCGGGGGACAGAGUGACAGGUGGUGCAUGGUUGUCGUCAGCUCGUGUCGUGAGAUGUUGGGUUAAGUCCCGCAACGAGCGCAACCCUUGAUCUUAGUUGCCAGCAUUCAGUUGGGCACUCUAAGGUAACUGCCGGUGACAAACCGGAGGAAGGUGGGGAUGACGUCAAAUCAUCAUGCCCCUUAUGACCUGGGCUACACACGUGCUACAAUGGAUGGUACAAAGAGCUGCGAACCCGCGAGGGUAAGCGAAUCUCAGUAAAGCCAUUCUCAGUUCGGA
rnacentral:rRNA from 1 species